CUUUGCCUGAAUGCAUGACUCUACAACCUUAGGACUUGCAGAAUUAAAGGAAUGCCGUCCUGAGGUUGUUGAGCUGUGCGUUUCUGGGC
rnacentral:pre_miRNA from 7 species